rnacentral:rRNA from 1 species
UACAGAGACUGCAAGCGUUAUUCGGAUUCACUGGGCGUAAAGGGUGCGCAGGCGGUUGGGUGUGUCAGAUGUGAAAUCCCGAGGCUCAACCUCGGAACUGCGUCUGAAACUACUCGGCUAGAGUACUGGAGAGGGUAACGGAAUUCACGGUGUAGCAGUGAAAUGCGUAGAUAUCGUGAGGAACACCAGAGGCGAAGGCGGUUACCUGGACAGUUACUGACGCUCAGGCACGAAAGCAUGGGGAGCAAAAGGG